AUUGAACGCUGGCGGCAGGCCUAACACAUGCAAGUCGAACGAGUGGCGGACGGGUGAGUAAUGUCUGGGAAACUGCCUGAUGGAGGGGGAUAACUACUGGAAACGGUAGCUAAUACCGCAUACCAUCAGAUGUGCCCAGAUGGGAUUAGCUAGUUGGUGGGGUAACGGCUCACCAAGGCGACGAUCCCUAGCUGGUCUGAGAGGAUGACCGGCAACACUGGAACUGAGAAACGGCCCAGACUCCUACGGGAGGCAUCAGGGGGGAAUAUUGCACAAGGGGCGCAGGCCUGAUGCAGCCAGGCCGCGUGUAUGAAGAAGGCCUUCGGGUUGUAAAGUACUUUCAGCGGGGAGGCGUUACCCGCAGAGGAAGCACCGGCUAACUCCGUGCCAGCAGCCGCGGUAAUUC
rnacentral:rRNA from 1 species